UUCUCUCUCUCUCUCUCUUCUUUCCUCUCUCUCUAAAAUCAAUAAACAUAUCCUCAGGUGACAAUUUUAAAAAAGCACAUGUAAACUGCUUAGCACAGCCCGUGGUGUUCAGUUAAGUGUAUAACGAAUAUUAUGCUUCUCCCCACUCCCUUGCCCAGCCCUGCCCCAGUAGAGUGUAGUGGUGCUUAAAAAUGUAUGCAUUUCCUUUCUAAGUUAUUCUGGUCUCUCCUUUAUGGCAUAACCCCCAAUUCUUAAACAAAUUAUUUCUUCCCUUAAUAAAAACUUUCACUGCCCUUUCUUCCAUAGCAUUCAGUAGAAAGUCCCAAUUACUGAGAGUUUGGCUUUUUAAGUCUCUGUGUGUUUUCCCAGCUUCAUUUUUUGUCACUUUUCCCCUCACACUAGUUACACUAGCCAAGCUUAACUAUUUACACAAGUUGUUCUUUGAGCCUGAAACAGAGACAUUAUAAAAAUUUUUGAUGCCCACAGGAAGUAAAUGGUAGGACUUGUUCUUAAGGGAAUAGAAUGAAACUGCUAAAAGUGCAAAAACACUCCGCCUCCACCUCAGUCCAAUUUCCUGUACCAUGUCUUUGGGUCUCCCACACCAUUCAUUUUUUGUACCCUUUGGAUUUUAGUGCCCUGAGCUUCAACUUCCCCAUCUUUCUUUUGAUCCUAGCCUGGCAUACUUUUCACCCCUCUUAAUCAGAUUAAUUCUCAUCCUCUAGACUGAGUUAUGUUCUCUUCAGAGCUCCCAUGGCACCCUGAGCAUCCUUAUGGCCUCAGCGAUAAUCAUAUUAGAUAGCAAUGUUUUUCAGAGUGUGGGCCUUAGACCAUUUGUUAGAAUUACAUUUGGUGUUUGAUAAAAUAAUUGAUUCAUAGCUCUAAGCCCUGAUCUACUUAAUUAGAACAUCUGGACACAUGGGUGGAAUUUUACAUUUUUAACCAGCUUUCCUGAUAAUUCUGAUGCACACACAAAUUUAAUGUAUAACAAUCAACUUCUGCACUAGACUAUGAAUACCUUGAGGGCAGGGACUAUGUCUUUUGUUUUUGUUGUAUUUUUCACACCUGAGUUAGUGUGUGGAACAGAGUAGUUGCCUAAUGUUUAUUGAACAAAUGAAUGAAUGAUCAACAUACAUUGAUAUCCAUAUUGGUGUUUGUUGUUUCCUGGGCCGAUAAGCUUGGGCUUUUCCAUUUGGGCUAUACUGAUUAUAUUUUGCAGAUGUCCCACGACUUAUAUGUGUAAAUGAGUAUUGUCCUCCUCAAAAGCUCUUUGGAAGUUGACCUGGGGAAUUGUCUGGAGUAUGUGGCACCAUUCUUUUCAAUAUUUUUCAAAUUUGUUCUUUGAAAGUAGAUUUAAAUUUUGGUUACAACCAAAAAUCACUUAGAGCUGAGCCUACUGAGUAAAGCAGGAAAUGAAACUGGGCUUGGGAUAAGCAAUUAAGUUGCUGAGCCAAAUAAUGAAAUAAUAAUUGCUUUCCAAGAGACACCAUGGUGACAAAGUACUCAGUGGGGGUAUGGAGAGUUCCAGAUACUUACUUAAGUAAAUUUAAGACUUUCAUAGGAUACUGGUAAUGCUAGGAAUCUUAAAAGACCUCAUUGACUACCUUUAGCUGAACCCAGUUGAACAAAGGAAGUAGGACCUGUUUAACAUCAAGGAAGGUAACUCCACAAGUUCCCAUUGCUGUUGCUCUACUCAGUUUAUUCCCCAACAAUCCUUUCUACUAGCAAAUUGUUCUGUCUGCAAUUUAUGCUUAUUUCCACUUUUAUACUGUCUUAUUGAAGAAAGCACAAAUAUAAUAAAAAAUAAAGUUAAACCUG